rnacentral:rRNA from 1 species
AGUGAACGCUGGCGGUAGGCCUAACACAUGCAAGUCGAACGGCAGCACAGUAAGAGCUUGCUCUUACGGGUGGCGAGUGGCGGACGGGUGAGGAAUACAUCGGAAUCUACUUUUUCGUGGGGGAUAACGUAGGGAAACUUACGCUAAUACCGCAUACGACCUACGGGUGAAAGCAGGGGAUCUUCGGACCUUGCGCGAUUGAAUGAGCCGAUGUCGGAUUAGCUAGUUGGCGGGGUAAAGGCCCACCAAGGCGACGAUCCGUAGCUGGUCUGAGAGGAUGAUCAGCCACACUGGAACUGAGUCUCGGUCCAGACUCCUACGGGAGGCAGCAGUGGGGAAUAUUGGACAAUGGGCGCAAGCCUGAUCCAGCCAUACCGCGUGGGUGAAGAAGGCCUUCGGGUUGUAAAGCCCUUUUGUUGGGAAAGAAAAGCAGCAGGUUAAUACCCCGCUGUUCUGACGGUACCCAAAGAAUAAGCACCGGCUAACUUCGUG